GACGAACGCUGGCGGCGUGCUUAACACAUGCAAGUCGAACGGUGAAGCUCCAGCUUGCUGGAGUGGAUCAGUGGCGAACGGGUGAGUAACACGUGAGCAACCUGCCCCUGACUCUGGAAUAAGCGCUGGAAACGGCGUCUAAUACUGGAUACGAGAAGGGUCCGCAUGGGCACUUUCUGGAAAGUUUUUCGGUUGGGGAUGGGCUCGCGGCCUAUCAGCUUGUUGGUGAGGUAAUGGCUCACCAAGGCGACGACGGGUAGCCGGCCUGAGAGGGCGACCGGCCACACUGGGACUGAGACACGGACCAGACUCCUACGGGAGGCAGCAGUGGGGAAUAUUGCACAAUGGGCGAAAGCCUGAUGCAGCGACGCCGCGUGAGGGAUGACGGCCUUCGGGUUGUAAAACUCUUUCAGCAGGGAAGAAGCGAAAGUGACGGUACCUGCAGAAGAAGCACCGGCUAACUACGUG
rnacentral:rRNA from 1 species